CCUACGGGAGGCAGCAGUGAGGAAUAUUGGUCAAUGGGCGAGAGCCUGAACCAGCCAAGUCGCGUGAAGGAUGACGGCCCUACGGGUUGUAAACUUCUUUUGUCAGGGAGCAAUUGAGUCCACGUGUGGGCUUCUCGAGAGUACCUGCAGAAAAAGCCUCGGCUAACUCCGUGCCAGCAGCCGCGGUAAUACGGAGGCUGCGAGCGUUAUCCGGAUUUAUUGGGUUUAAAGGGUGCGUAGGCGGAAUAUCAAGUCAGCGGUAAAAAUUCGGGGGUCAACCCCGUCGUGCCGUUGAAACUGAUGUUAUUGAGUGGGCGAGAAGUAGGCGGAAUGCGUGGUGUAGCGGUGAAAUGCAUAGAUAUCACGCAGAACUCCGAUUGCGAAGGCAGCAUACCGGGGCCCAACUGACGCUGAAGCACGAAAGCGUGGGUAUCGAACAGGAUUAGAUACCCUUGUAGUC
rnacentral:rRNA from 1 species